UACGUAGGCAGCAAGCGUUGUUCGGAAUUACUGGGCGUAAAGAGUGUGUAGGUGGUGUCGUAAGUUUGGUGUGAAAUCUCCCGGCUUAACUGGGAGGGUGCGCCGAAGACUGCGAUGCUGGAGUAUGGGAGAGGAAAGCGGAAUUCCUGGUGUAGCGGUGAAAUGCGUAGAUAUCUGGAGGAACACCGGUGGCGAAGGCGGCAUCCUGGACCAACACUGACGCUGAGUGAGCGAAAGCCAGGGGAGCAAACGGG
rnacentral:rRNA from 1 species